rnacentral:lncRNA from 1 species
GUUAUGCUCUCCCUAACCCCCAACCGUCAAGACUACUCUGCCUUUCCAUCCAAGACUCUUUCUGGAGGAAUGAGUGUUUUACCACAUGAUUGAACUUUCCCACGCCCUCCACAGAGGUUUCCUCACCCUUGAACUGAGAUCUAGAAUCCAGAUGUCUCGUCUCCAACAAGUUCAUCAACCGCAUGUUUUACAUCAAUAAAAAAAUGGCAAUAAAGCAAGAAUUUGCAGAUGGUGACGUCUUGGAAGUUUCUGUGGCACCUCUGGGCGUGGGUCCUGAAGAGUCACCUCAGAAAGACAAGGGACAUCUGCAGCUGCACAGUUCACCCGAGAAAGCAAAUGUGCUCAAGCCAUAAAUGGAAAAUGCAGCAUUUACCCUUAGAACUGGUGGGAAUGAACCAACCCCGUCAUCAUGGG